rnacentral:rRNA from 1 species
AGUGAACGCUAGCGGCGUGCUUAACACAUGCAAGUCGAACGAGAACGGAUUAUAGCUCGCUAUAAUUGUCAGCUAAGUGGCGCACGGGUGAGUAAUGUAUAGGUAAUAUGCCUCUUACUAAGGGAUAACAAAUGGAAACGUUUGCUAAUACCUUAUACUCCUUAUUAACAGAAGUUAAUAAGGGAAAGAUUUAUUGGUAAGAGAUUAGCCUGUAUUGUAUCAGUUAGUUGGUGGGGUAAUGGCUUACCAAGACUAUGACACAUAACUGGUUUGAGAGGAUGAUCAGUCACACUGGAACUGAGACACGGUCCAGACUCCUACGGGAGGCAGCAGUGGGGAAUAUUGCACAAUGGACGAAAGUCUGAUGCAGCAACGCCGCGUGGAGGAUGACACAUUUCGGUGCGUAAACUCCUUUUAUAUGAGAAGAUAAUGACGGUAUUAUAUGAAUAAGCACCGGCUAACUCCGUGCCAGCCGCCGCCGUAACAC